GAUCUUAUCCUUUCCCCCACCAGAUUUUCUUCUUCUUCAUCCAUGCUCCACGCCAUUCUUGAAGCUUACAUGCCAUUUUCUCUUUAUCCACCAUGAAAUCAAGUUUUCUUCACUUUCCUUUCCAUGUUUUUCUUUUCCUUUCUUCUCCAAACUUCUUGAGCACUAAAUUGACAGCCUUUAACCCCAAUUUCCAGCAUAUCUAAACCCUAAGAGGAGAAGAAAGAAAAAGAGAGAAAGGAAGAAAAAGCUUGGUUUUGGUGAUUCAGGCAAGAAACGGUAAGAAUUCUUGUUUUUGGCUUAAGUAGUCUUUGAAAAUGAGUUAGUGACUUAGAGAAAUGUCUUGUGGCAGCAAAGAUUGACUUGAUUGGAGAAAAAUUGAUAACAUGUAAGCCAAUAAACCCAUGGGCACAUGAAGGACUCAAAGUGGAAAAGGAAAAUGGUGAGCUUAACACUAUGUUUUCAAGCCUACGGUUAGUUGAAUAUUGUGAGGAAUUAUGGUUGUUGAAAGGAUUUAUUUGCCUAAGCUAGUUUAAAAUUAUUAAGAUUGUAUGGCAUGUUGUUUGAAAGAAAUGAAAAAGGAAUAUUGUGGAUGGAGGAUUAAGAAACGAAGUAUUGAAAGUUAGAUAGAUAACAAUACGUGUAAACUAAGAAAUAAUCGAGUGAAAGUGAGAAUGAUUGUUGUUGCCAUAUAUGUGGAUUAUGUCUAGAAAUAUAAGAUUGAUUUGGGUGGAAAUUAUUUAGAAAGGUUGAAGUAGACACGUGACAUCAUAAUUAAGUUGUCGGUGAUAUAAUUUAAGGAAUUACGUAAGCAAUGGAUAUAAGUAAUUUUAGUAAAAAUGUAUUAACAUGUGAGUUAAUUGAAGAUGGUUUCAUGAUAGGAUGAAAAAUAUAAAUUUGAGUAAGGAUUAAUUGAUUGAAGUGCUGCCCGUAUACGUAUAUAAUUAAAUAUAUUGAGUUUGUAUUAUUGUUAGGAAGUGCAAAAAUAAGGUUAGGGUACUGUGGUGGCAUGCUAGAGUAAACAUCGAGCGACCGGCCAGUGAAAAUAAUUAGACACCUCCGAUCAAAUAGCAAUGUAAUAUCCCAUUAUCGUAAGGUGAGUGAACUUGCAUAAAAUGUUUUAGGAGUAAGGCACAUGUGGUUGAUUGAGACAUUUUAAUUGUUUUUCUAUAAAAAUGCAUGGGAACAAGCCUUUAGUGAAAUGUUUUUGUGAUGUGGAACAUGAUUGUGAUGAAUCUAUGUACCUCUAUAUGAUAUUGAUAUGUAUAUAUAUAAAAAAUAGUAAUAUAUGAUAUGUAUUGUUAACAAAUUUUGUGUAAUUGAUGUAACCAUGCAUGUGCGGAGUGGGUAGUGCACAUGCCGGUUGAAUGACAAUGUUGUGAUAAUUGUAACUGUGCAUGUGAGGAAUGGGCAAUGCACAUGUCGGUUGAAUGACAAUGUCAUGAUAAUUACAACCGUGCAUGUGCAAAGUGGGUAGUGCACAUGCCAGUAAUGAUGCACACGAGUUGGGUGAGAUGGGGUGUUCGGCUAUGUGCACGAUGUACGGGGAUGCACAUGAGCUGGGUGAGGUGAUGGUGGUGUAUUUGCUUAUAUAUAUAUUUACUAUAUAAAGGUGUUUGGAUUUAAUAUGUGAUUGCAUUGACUGUUGAAAACUUGAGUAUUGUCAAUUUGUUCAAUUUAAUGUGCAAUGUGGCAUGAAUGGAAUUUUCUUGAUGGCAGUGAAAGCCCCUUGAUUUUAUCUUGUCAGGCCCUGCUCUAUAAUAUACUUGCCAUGUCAUUCAUGUACUUGAUAGCAUGUCUGUAUACUUAGAUGCCUCGAAAAAUCGUUAAAAGUCGGUAUUGUACUUAGUGGUACAAUUAAGUCGAUUAAAGUCUUGAACUAGUCCAAAUAGAGAUUGUGGGAUGUAUUUGAGAGUUAUUGAACCUUAGAAUGUCUUAAAAUGGUGAUUUGGAGUUCGAGGAUUAAUUUGAAAUCCAUUUGGGAAUUUUCAUAACGUAAGGGCAAAAUAGUCAUUUUACCACCCAAGGGCAAAAAUUGGAAUGUUGGACAAGAUUUUUGACCAAGUUUGACUAGUUGGAACAUAAUUUGAAUUUGAGGAGUGAAAAUUUUCAAUUCCGAGCAUAAGGGCAAAACGAUCAUUUCAAAUGUCCACGAGGACGUAAUUAUAAUUUUUGAAAUUUUACACCACCAUGACACUUGUUAAGCCCAUGAAUUUCACCUAUUAUCAUUUUAUACUUUGGAUAAUUAUGGGAUUAUAUGUGGUGGAAAGGAAAAACCUUAUUAGUUAAGUUUUAAAUGUGAACCAAUUAUAUGUUGCCAUGUGUCAAGUUUUUAUUAUUUUAUAAUUUCCUUUAUAAACUCAACAUAAACUCUCCCAUUCACUCUCUCAUUGUUGUUCAAGCCAAAGAACAAAGGGGGAAAGAAUAAAAAAACCCCAUGGAGGAAAAGUUCAAGAGAAAUUCAUUGGAUUUUCGAAAAACGAAGCGGUCGGGGGUAAGAUUUCGCGAUUUACCUUAAGAUCUACCUUACCCAUGCUUUCUUUUUCAUUUUCUAUGGUUGAAACUAAGUUUUCCUGAUGGAAGCAUGCUGGCCGAAUCAAGGGGGAAGGUUUUGAGAAUGGGUUUUGUUAGAUUCCAUGCUAUCUAGGUGUUUUUAGUUGUUUUGUGAGAUUCGGUAUGAAAAACAAGCAAGAAAACCACAUGUUCUUUAUCAAAUCCUAAUUGGCCGAAUUCUAUAGGGAAUAUUUUGAAAAUGAAUUUUUUCAUAUUCCAUGUUAUCUAGCUCGUAUUUAAUGAUUCAUGAUGUUGGAUAUCAAAAACGGUUAUCGAAAAGUAUAAUUCCUUUAAUAAAUGACUUGAACGAUAAUGAGAAAAUUAUAGUAAAUGGACUUAGAAUUGAUUUCUAAUGAGGUAUAUGGACUUAUUAAAGUAUCGAAAGUACAAUGAAUCUAUUUGGACUUGAAUUGGAUGUUUGGGCUAAUUAAAUAGUGUAUAGUGCGAGUUAGGUCGAAUACCAUUUCAGUCCAACAACAAUUAAACCUACGUAGAACACCAUCUUUAAGUGAUUAUUCGAACAUUUCUCAUUCAAUUUCAUACAUUCAUAAAGAGCCUGAAAUAGUUUUAUAACAGUUUGGCACAAAUAUAUUGAAUUACUUGUUAUGUAUUAUGUAUAGGUGGUGAUCCCUUUGGUAAGGGUAAGGAUAUCGUACCCGAGGACCAAGAGUAGGAGUACUCCCAUUAUAGUGAGUAAUCAGACGAUCAUUUUAACUAUCUAAAGUAGUUUAUACUCGUUUUUAUGAUUUUAAAGAAUAAUAAAUUUAAAUUGUAAACUAUUAUGUUUUAUAGCUGAAGUGUUGGUUAAAUGAAAUGAGAUUCAUAAUUUGGUUUGAAAUUGAAUCUUGGUUUUGGAAAUUGAGUAAGUGGAGAUUAUAUACUCAUGUUUGAUAUAUGGUUUGAAUUGAUGGCUUAUGACAAUGUGAUGGCAUGAAUGGCUGGUUUUGUAUUUAUGUGGAAUAUAUGAACUGUUUUGUUUUACCUUGACAGGCUGGGUAAUAUCACAUUAGCCAUGUCAUGCUGUCGAAAUUUUUAUUGAUUUGGUGGGGUAAUUGAUUAGCUUACUGCAGUGGGUGGGUUUCCGUGGACCGGCCUAUUAGAGGGGCACGGUAAACCCCGUUAUAUUUUACCUUACUAUGAGAGGCACGAGGGUAUCUCCUAAGGUAGUUUAGAGUUCACUUCAUGCCGAACCACCACGUGAGGGUGAAACUUAGCCAACGCCAAGGAAUGACUAUGUUUUUAAACGAAAAAACAUGUUUUAUGUGUAUAUGUUAUUUUAACAGCCUUGGCGGACUCGGUUGGAUGCCCUACGCAAGGUGUUACCGAGUACGAGUUUUGGCACGAAUCGAGUUUUAAGAGAGUCUGUAAAACCUGACCCUAUAAACACAUGUCAUGACAUACAUGCACUGAGUAGUAUGUUAUUAAGCUAGGAAAGUUCCUACGAAUAGACGAAACCCAGUAUUGUACCUAACGGUACACUUGAGUUGAUUUAACCUCGAACUAGUUCAAAUAGGAAUCGUAUGAUGAAAUUUAAUAUUUUACAGUCCAGGAAUGACUAAAAAUGAUUGUUCUGAGUUCGAGGGUUCAUUUGGAGAAAAAUUUAAAAUUUUGAUGUUCAUGGGUAAAAUCGUCAUUUUGCCACCUAAGAUAAUAAUUUGAUCAUGGAGUGAAAGUUUUGACCAAGAUUAACUAUUUGCAGUAUAAUUUAAUGAUAGGAAGUGAAAAAUUUUCAAUUUCGGUAAUUUUUGAAACAUAGGGGUAAAAUAGUAAUUUUGUCACCCCGGGGUAAAAACUGUAAUUUUCACCACCCAAAACUUGUCAAAAUCAUAGGAUUUACUUAUUUUUGGCAUGAAUAACUAAGGUAUGUUAAGUGGUGAAAAAUUGAAGUUUAAAGGAUGAAAUUUUAAAAACGGGCCAAUGGAAAAGUGACACAUGGCACUUUUUAAUUAUUUAAUAUUAUUUUAAAGAAAAAUCAGCCCAUUUAAACCCCACAUCAGGUGAUGGCAGGCCAUAAGGAGAGAACAAGAUACAAAAUAGAGAGGAAAGGAAGAAAAGAGAAAAACCAAAGGAAAACUAGAAAAUUCAAAGGGGAAAUCGUGUUUUUCGUCCGUUUACGCGUCUAACGGUAAGAUUUUUCAACUUUAGCUUGAUUUCUACCUUUCUUAUGCCUUUGUUUUCAUUUAGCAUGCUUGAGGAGAGAGAUCAAAAAGUGAUACCAAGGGCUGGCCGAAUUUCAAGGGGGAGAAAUUUGAAAUUCUUAUGUUUUGAUUUUUAGUUAAAUUGAUAGUUUUAGUUAGUUAAAUGUGUAUAGAAAUCAAAUUGGGCAAGAAAGCAUGAAAUUUUCACAAUACCCACCCUUGGCNNNNNNNNNNNNNNNNNNNNNNNNNNNNNNNNNNNNNNNNNNNNNNNNNNNNNNNNNNNNNNNNNNNNNNNNNNNNNNNNNNNNNNNNNNNNNNNNNNNNNNNNNNNNNNNNNNNNNNNNNNNNNNNNNNNNNNNNNNNNNNNNNNNNNNNNNNNNNNNNNNNNNNNNNNNNNNNNNNNNNNNNNNNNNNNNNNNNNNNNNNNNNNNNNNNNNNNNNNNNNNNNNNNNNNNNNNNNNNNNNNNNNNNNNNNNNNNNNNNNNNNNNNNNNNNNNNNNNNNNNNNNNNNNNNNNNNNNNNNNNNNNNNNNNNNNNNNNNNNNNNNNNNNNNNNNNNNNNNNNNNNNNNNNNNNNNNNNNNNNNNNNNNNNNNNNNNNGAGCGCGUUAGUAAUUUAUCGGGUAAAGUGCCAAAAAUAGGUUAAUACCGCGUUUAAGCCAUUUUAGGCUAUUGCAUUUCAUACCAUGCAUUAGUAUAGGAUUUAAGUCAAUUAUAUAGUGAUUUAGCAUCAAUGUGGUAAAUUGUGAAAUUUUUGCAAUGUGUCUAGGAGGAGAGCCUUCCGGUAAAGGCUAGGAAGUCAUACCUGACGAAUAGUGAUCGGGGCACCAAGAAAGCAUUUAAUUUGUACAAACGAUGAGUAAACCUAUUAUUAUUGUAAAUUAUCUAGAGUUUAGUUUUAAAUGCUCUUCAUGGAUUUUAUGAAACGAAAAUGAGAUUAAAAUGGGAUUUUUGAUGUUUUAGAAAUAAAUGUGACAAAUAAAUAUAUUGUCUUAAUUUUUUGAAAUAAGAAACUUUUGAUUACGAAAUUGAGUAAUUGGAGGCUGUAAAUUGUCUUGAAAAAUAUAUUUUCCUAUGAAUGGCUUAUGAUAUAUGAGUAUAUGUGGCUAUAUUUUAUAAUUGCAUUGGGAAUUUAUCUAAGCUGUCUUUUACUAUGCAGGCUAGGUAAAUAAAUAAAAGUCACGUUAUACUGUCGAAAUUUUAUUAAAAUUGGUGGGUUUAGUCACUGCAGUGACGGGUUUCCGUGGACUGCCUAUUAGAAGGGUACGGUAAACCCAGUUAUAUAGUUACUUCGAUUGUAGAGGCAAUGAGGGUAACUCCCUGGGUAGUGUUAGAGCUCACUUCACGUCGAACCCCCACGUGAAUGUGUAACUCGGCCAACGCCAAGGAACGGCUUGUUUUCAAAACUAACAUGUGUUUAACAUGUAAAUAUCUUAACAACCUUGGCGGACUCGGUUAGAUGCCUCGGCCAAGGUAUCCCCGAGGACUAGUUUUGGCUUGAGCCUUGUUUUUAAUAAAAGUUAUAAGCCUUAACAACUGUCUUGGUAAAUUACAAAUAUUUUAUAGUUUAAGAAAUAAAUUGAAAACCUUAUCAAAUAGUUUGUAAUUUGUUGCUUAAAUUUGCCUCCAUGUUACUCGCCUUUAGAUAUUUAUGAUAAUGUCUGUUUACUCAUUGAGAUUGUAAAAUCUCACCCACCUUCUUUCCAAAUAUUUCAGGCCUGUGGUAGCUUGUAGAUACCCGAUUUUGUCAAGGAUUCCAGUUGACCCCUCUAUCACACAGACAGUAGGUUACUAUCACCAACACUUGGUGUAUUUAUGGGCCACUUGUCAUUGUAAUUAUUAUUGUACAUUAUAACUUUGUAAAUUAUUAUAUGUAUGAAUUUAUUUUACUUCUAAGUUACAAAAGAUUACUUACACGUGUUUUUAUAAAUAUUAUUUUAUAUAAAAUUGCUAUAUUUUUGUCUUUUGAUUUACUUGAGCCAGAAACAACUGAAAAUUGUUUAAAACUGAUAUGUAAGCCUUGCGGGGUUCUGAUUGGUAUUUCGGGUAAUGAGUAUCAAUCGGGACGUCGCGACGGUUGUCAUGGGCCCGAGGGAGGUUUCGGGUCGUGACAAUUGAAUUGGUAUUAGAGCUUUCGGUUUAAAAGCUUAUGGUUUUGAAAGAAGUUUUUGAUUUUUAAACUUCUAGGAUUUAAAGUUAUUUUAAAAUAAUUUACAAUGUCAGUGUGGCCCAGUUAAGAUUAGUUAGUUCCAUGUAGUUGCAUAUAGAGUCUUAAGUCGUCUAAACCAAUUUCGUUCUUUUUGUAGAUCAUUAUGCCUCCUCGACGUGAGCUACCACCUAUCACUAGAUCUACCGGUAGGGGAAGAGGUCGCCCCAGACAUUGUCAGUCGAAUUCCAUAGAAGAAGAGUCGGUUGCGUCUUCUUUUAAAGCAGUUCCUACUGCUGAGUCUACUGACAUUCCUGUACCUCCUCCACCACCUGUUGCUGCUCUUGGCGUACCUGCCAUGUCAUCCUAGGUAGCUCAAGCAUUAGUGGCUUUUCUUGCUGCUCUUACGGGUCAGGCUCAGGCUAGUCCAGUUCCACCCGCUGUUUCCCCUGUAACAACCUUAGUACCACCACUUCCUAUUCCACCCCAAACACAGAACGUAUCCAUUUCUAAGAAAUUGAAGGAAGCUAGACAGUUAGGUUGCGUCUCGUUUACUGGUGAGUUGGAUGCGACCGCAGCUAAGGAUUGGGUUAUUCAAGUAUCGGAGACACUGGCAGAUAUGGGAUUAGAUAAUGAGAUGAAAUUGAAGGUGGCUACACGGCUAUUUGAGAAGAGAGCCCGUACCUGGUGGAAUUUAAUAAAGUCUCGCUCUCCUAUAUCGCUGACUUGGACAAAUUUCCUCCGAGAGUUUGAUGGUCAGUAUUACACUUAUUUCCAUCAGAAAGAGAAAAAGAGAGAAUUUCUGAGCUUGAAACAAGGGAACAUGACCAUUGAGGAGUAUGAAACUCGUUUUAAUGAGCUGAUGCUUUAUGUAACUGAGUUGGUGAGAUUGGAGCAAGACCAAGUAAACUACUUUGAGGAAGGAGUCCGUAAUGAGAUACGGGAGUGUAUGAUAGUGACUGGCAAGGAGUCGUAUAAGGAAGUUAUGCAGAUGGCCUUACGGGCUGAGAAGCUCACCACUGAGAAUAGACGGAUCCGAGCGGAGUUUGCAAAGAGAAGGAAUCCACCUAUGUUCCUGGGUCAGUUUUCAAAUAGAGGUAGAGAUUCGACAUCUAUUGCAGGAAGUAAUACCUCAGCGUCUGUGGCAUCCACUAGACCUCCAUCUCAACAGUCACAAUCGAGAUCUUUUAAACUUGAUCGGCUCGUGAUGAGUAGUCAGGGGGGGACUUCAGGAAGAUUUGAAAAAUGCCGUAAUUAUGGAGGAUUUCAUGUUGGGUCAUGUAGACAGCUUGUAAAGUGUUUUCAAUGCGGCCAACAGGGGCAUAUCAAGAGAGAUUGUCUUCAGUUGAGACAAGAUACAGUAGCUACUUCUACUUUUCUGACUCGUUCUAGUAUACCACGGAGAGACAUUUCGGGAUCACAGUCCAAACAAGGCCUAGUGAUACGGUCAGGCAUGGGGAUUAAUACCCCAAAGCAGCCAUCUUCCAAACCGCAGCCCUAGAUUCAACUAGGAUUUUUGCAGUGAUUGAGGAUGAAGCCCGGGUUUGACCUAGCACAGUGACAGGUACUAUGAUUGUGUUUGAUAGAGAUGCACAUGUUUUGAUAGAUUCAGGCUCCGAUAGAUCAUACGUGAGCAUAUCAUUUGCAUCAUUCUCAUAUAGGAACCCGUCACCAUUAGAGGAAGAGAUUAUAGUGCAUACUCCUCUAGGCGAACGGUUAGUAAGAAAUACGUAUUAUAGAGACUAUGGUAUUAAAGUUGGGGAAAAAAAUUUAUGGGUGAUUUAAUCCCUUUGGAGAUUCGGGACUUUGAUNAAGAUUAUAGUGCAUACUCCUCUGGGCAAGUGGUUAGUAAGAAUACGUAUUAUAGAGACUAUGGUAUUAAAGUUGGGGAAAAAAAUUUAUGGGUGAUUUUAAUCCCUUUGGAGAUUCUGGACUUUGAUUUGAUCUUGGGUAUGGAUUGGUUGUCCACUCAUCGAGCAAAAGUGGAUUAUUUUAAGAAAGAAGUGAUUCUCCAGAGUUUAGAGGGAGCAGAAGUUGUAUUUGCGGGGGAGCAUCGAGUAUUACCGUUUUGUGUAAUCUUGGCCCUCAAAGCUUUGAAAUUGGUGCAAAAGGGAUAUCCGGCAUACUUGGCUCAUGUGAUUGAUAUAUCGAGGGAAGAACCUAAGUUAGAGAAUGUCCUCAUAGUGAGUUCCCUGAUGUAUUUCCUGAUGAAUUACCAAGACUUCCUCCUGAUCGUGAGAUCGAAUUCACCAUUGACUUACUUCCGGGUACUGCUCCUAUCUCUAUUCCUCCAUAUAGAAUGGCUUCGGCAGAGUUGAAGGAGUUGAAAGUACAGUUGAAAGAGUUAGUGGACAAGGGUUUUAUACACCCUAGUACAUCUCCGUGGGGAGCACCGAUUUUAUUUGUGAAAAAAAAAGAUGAUACACUUCGAUUAUGUAUAGAUUACCGACAGCUUAACAAAAUGACCAUUAAGAACAAGUAUCCGUUGCCGAGGAUUGAUGAUCUUUUCGAUCAAUUACAGGGAGCUACAGUGUUUUCUAAGGUUGAUCUAAGAUCUGGGUAUCAUCAGUUGAGGAUCAAAGAACAGGAUGUACCCAAGACAACGUUCAGGACUCGGUACGGUCAUUAUGAGUUCUUGGUCAUGCCUUUCGAGUUAACUAACUCACUGGUAGCUUUUAUGGAUCUCAUGCACAGGGUGUUCCACCCUUACUUGGACAAGUUUGUUAUUGUGUUCAUUGAUGACAUCCUGGUUUACUCGAGAGAUAAUGAUGAGUACGUUACGUACUUGCGCAUAGUAUUACAGACUUUGCGGGAAAGACAGUUGUAUGCAAAGUUUUCGAAGUGUGAGUUUUGGUUACAGGAAGUGGUAUUCUUCGGACACAUAGUAUCGGGAGCUAGAAUAUAUGUUGAUCCCAAGAAGAUAGAGGCAAUUUUACAAUGGGAGCAACCUAAGACGGUGACGGAGAUUCGUAGUUUCCUUGGAUUAGCCGGUUAUUAUCAGAGGUUUGUUCAAGGAUUUUCCUUAAUAGCAGCUCCUUUGACCUGUCUAACUUGUAAGAGAGUUAAGUUUGAGUGGGAUGAUGUUUGUGAGAAUCGAUUUCAGGAGCUAAAGAACCGAUUAACCUCCACUCCCAUUUUAACACUUCAUGGUAAUGGUAAGGGAUUUGUAAUUUAUAGUGAUGCCUCAAAGUUGGGGUUGGGGUGCGUACUGAUGCAGGAUGAAAAAGUUGUGGCUUAUGCUUCAAGACAACUAAAGAGGCAUGAAGCAAAUUACCCUACCCAUGAUUUAGAGUUAGCAGCUGUGGUGUUUGCUUUAAAAAUCUAGAGGCAUUACUUGUAUGGUGAGCAUUAUCGAGUAUUUACGGAUCACAAGAGUUUAAAAUAUUUGCUCACUCAAAAGGAGCUUAAUUUGAGGCAAAGGCGAUGGUUGGAGUUGAUAAAAGAUUAUGACUUGGUGAUAGACUAUCAUCUAGGAAAGGCGAACGCUGUAGCUGAUGCCUUAAGUCGUAAGUCUUCAUCGUCUUUAGCCGCACUUCAGAGUUGUUAUUUUCCAGCAUUAUUAGUGAUGAAAUCUAUUAGGGUCCAGUUGAGAAAUAGUGAGGAUAGAUCCUUAUUGGCAAGCUUCAUUGUGCGACCUUCGUUACUAAAUCAGAUCAAGGACAUUCAGAGGUCUGAUGAGGAGUUAAGAAAAAAAAUUCAAAAAUUGACCGAUGGGGGAGUCAGUGAGUUUAGAUUCAGAGAGGAUAACGUCUUGAUGUUUAGAAACCGAGUUUGUGUUCUUCAAGGAAACCAGCUGAGACAGGCGUCAUGAAAGAAGCCCAUUCAUCUGCUUGUGCAUUACAUCUUGGAAGCACCAAGAUGUAUAGGACUAUCAGGGAGAAUUAUUGGUAGCCAGGUAUGAAGCGAGACGUAGCAGAAUUCGUAGCAAAGUGUCUCGUAUGUCAGCAAGUUAAGGCGGAGCAUCAGAAGCCAGCGGGUACACUUCAGUCUUUACCUAUUCUCGAGUGGAAAUGGGAGCAUGUAACUAUGGAUUUUGUUUUGGGAUUGCCGCGGACACAGAGAGGAAAGGAUGCGAUCUAGGUGAUCGUAGAUCGAUUGACUAAGUCCGCUCAUUUUUUAGCUGUCCAUAGUACAUACUCUAUUGAGAAGCUGGCUCAACUCUAUGUAGAUAAGAUUGUGAGGCUACAUGGAGUUCCCAUUUCUAUAGUGUCAGACUGAGAUCCUUGAUUCACUUCUCGAUUCUGGCCGAAAUUUCAAGAAGCUCUCGGAACCAACUUGAAAUUUAGCACUACUUUUCACCCACAGACGGAUGGUCAAUCAGAGAGGACUAUCCAGACUAUGGAAUAUAUGUUGAGGGCUUGUGUCAUGGAUCUUCUUGGGAGUUGGGAUAGACACUUGCCGUUAGUGAAAUUUGCUUACAACAAUAGCUUCCAGUCUAGCAUUGGUAUGGCACCGUAUGAAGCUUUAUAUGGAAGGAAAUGUCGUACUCCACUUUGUUGGGAUGAAGUGGGUGAAAGAAAGUUAGUUAGUGUGGAAUUGAUAUCUAACUAAUGACAAGAUCAAGGUUAUACAAGAAAGGCUGAAGGUAGCCCAGGGUAGGCAGAAGAGCUAUGCAGAUAAACGGAGAAAAGACUUGGAGUUUGAGAUCGAUGAUAGAGUUUUUCUUAAGGUUUCUUCGUGGAAAGGUGUGAUUCGAUUUGUGAAGCCGGGAAAGCUUAACCCGAGGUAUACUGGACCAUUCCAAAUCAUUGAGAGAAUUGGACCAAUGGCUUAUCGGUUAGAACUACCUCUGGAGUUAGAUCGGAUCCACAACAUUUUUCAUGUCUCCAUGCUUAAGAAAUAUGUACCAGAUCCCUCUCACAUCCUCGAAGCACCUCCAAUCGAGUUGCAUGACGAUUUGAAGUUUGAGGUGCAACCUGUGAGUAUCUUGGAUCGAAAGGAUCGAGUGUUGAGGAACCAGAGUAUUUCAUUGGUCAAAGUGUUGUGGAAAAGUGCUCGAAUGGAGGAAAUGACAUGGGAAGUAGAGCAUCAGAUGAGGAACCAAUACCCGCAUCUAUUUGUCGAAUCUGGCAAGUCAAAUUUUGAGGUCAAAAUUUUAUUUUAAGGGAGGUAAAAUUGUAAAACCCCGACCCUAUAAACACAUGUCAUGACAUACAUGCACCGAGUAGCAUGUUAUUACGCUAGGAAAGUUCCUAAAAAUAGACAAAACCCGGUAUUGUACCUAACGAUACACUUGAGUUGAUUUAACCUCAAAUUAGUUCAAAUAGGAAUCGUAGGAUGAAAUUUAAUAUUUUACAGUCCAAGAAUGACUAAAAAUGAUUGUUCGGAGUUCGAGGGUUCAUUUGGAGAAAAAUUUAAAAUUUUGAUGUUUAGGGGCAAAAUCGUCAUUUUGCCACCUAAGAUAAUAAUUUGAUCAUGGAGUGAAAUUUUUUACCAAGAUUAACUAUUUGGAGUAUAAUUUAAUGAUAGGAAGUGAAAAAUUUCAAUUCCGAUAAUUUUCGAAACAUAGGGGUAAAGCGGUAAUUUUGUCACCCUAGGGUAAAAAUCGUAAUUUUCACCACCCAAAACUUGUCAAAAUCAUAGGAUUUACUUAUUUUUGGCAUGAAUAACUAUGGAAUGUUAAGUGGUGAAAAAUUGAAGUUUAAAGGAUGAAAUUUUAAAAACGGGCCAAUGGGAAAGUGACACAUGGCACUUUUUAAUUAUUUAAUAUUAUUUUAAAGGAAAAUCAGCCCAUUUAAACCCCACAUCAGGUGAUGGCAGGCCAUAAGGAGAGAACAACAGAGAAAAUAGAGAGGAAAGGAAGAAAAGAGAAAAACCAAAGGAAAACUAGAAAAUUCGAAGGGGAAAUCGCGUUUUUCGUCCGUUUACGCGUCUAACGGUAAGAUUUUUCGACUUUAUGUCUUUUUUUUAAUUUAGCAUGCUUGAGGAGAGAGAUCAAAAAGUGAUACCAAGGGCUGGCCGAAUUUCAAGGGGGAGGAAUUUGAAAUUCUUAUGUUUUGAUUUUUAGUUAAAUUGAUAGUUUUAGUUAGUUAAAUGUGUAUAGAAAUCAAAUUGGGCAAGAAAGCAUGCAAUUUUCACAAUACCCACCCUUGGCCGAAUCUUCAAUGAUGUACAAUGAUGAAGAACUGAUUUUUAUUCUAAGAGAAAUGAAGAGAAAAUGAUGAAAAAUGGUUAAAUGUGAUAGAAAAACAAAGUGGAAAAUUUAUCUAGUUAAUGUCUCAUUUUUGGCCGAAUUUUUCAAGGAGAAAAGUCAGCUGAUUUUGGUGAGUUUAGAGGAUUAUUGGCUGAUAUUUAAUGGUUAGAAAUGUUGGAGAGAAAAUGGGACAAUUUAGAGCUAAAAUAGAGCGCGUUAGCAAUUUAUCAGGUAAAGUGCCAAAAAUAGGCUAAUACCACGUUUAAGCCGUUUUAGGCUAUUGCAUUUCAUACCAUGCAUUAGUAUAGGAUUUAAGUCAAUUAUAUAGUGAUUUAGCAUCAAUGUGGUAAAUUGUGAAAUUUUUGCAAUGUGUCUAGGAGGAGAGCCUUCCGGUAAAGGCCAGGAAGUCAUACCUGACGAAUAGUGAUCGGGGCACCAAGAAAGCUUUUAAUUUGUACAAACGAUGAGUAAACCUAUUAUUAUUGUAAAUUAUCUAGAGUUUAGUUUUAAAUGCUCUUCAUGGAUUUUAUGAAACGAAAAUGAGAUUAAAAUGGGAUUUUUGAUGUUUUAGAAAUAAAUGUGACAAAUAAAUAUAUUGUCUUGAUUUUCUGAAAUAAGAAACUUUUGAUUAUGAAAUUGAGUAAUUGGAGGCUGUAAAUUGUCUUGAAAAAUAUAUUUCCUAUGAAUGGCUUAUGAUAUAUGAGUAUAUGUGGUUAUAUUUUAUAAUUGCAUUGGGAAUUUAUGUAAGCUGUCUUUUACUAUGCAGGCUAGGUAAAUAAAUAAAAGUCACGUUAUACUGUCGAAAUUUUAUUAAAAUUGGUGGGUUUAGUCACUGCAGUGACGUGUUUUCGUGGACUACCUAUUAGAGGGGCACGGUAAACCCGGUUAUAUAGUUACUCCGGUUGUAGAGGCAAGGAGGGUAACUCCCGGGGUAGUGUUAGAGCUCACUUCACGUCGAACCCCACGUGAAUGUGUAACUCGGCCAACGCCAAGGAACGGCUUGUUUUCAAAACUAACAUGUGUUUAACAUGUAAAUAUCUUAACAACCUUGACGGACUCGGUUAGAUGCCUCAGCCAAGGUAUCCCCGAGGACUAGUUUUGGCUUGAGCCCUAUUUUUAAUAAAAGUUAUAAGCCUUAACAACUAUUUUGGUAAAUUAUAAAUAUUUUAUAGUUGAAGAAAUAAAUUGAAAACCUUAUGAAAUGGUUUGUAAUUUGUUGUUUAAACUUGCCUCCAUGUUAUUCGCCUUUAGAUAUUUAUGAUAAUGUCUGUUUACUCAUUGGGAUUGUAAAAUCUCACCCACCUCCUUUCCAAAUAUUUCAGGCCUGUGGUAGCUUGUAGAUACCCAAUUUUGUCAAGGAUUCUAGUUGACCCCUCUAUCACACAGACAGUAGGUUACUAUCACCAACACUUGGUGUAUUUAUGGGCCACUUGUCAUUGUAAUUAUUAUUGUAUAUUAUAACUUUAUAAAUUAUUGUAUGUAUGAAUUUAUUUUACUUCUAAGUUACAAAAGAUUACUUGCACGUGUUUCUAUAAAUAUUGUUUUAUAUAAAAAUGUUAUAUUUUUGUCUUUUGAUUUACUUGAGCCAAAAACGACUAGAAAUUGUUCAAAACUGAUAUGUAAGCCUUGUGGGGUUCUGAUUGGUAUUCCGGAUAAUGAGCAUCAAUCGGGACGUCGCGGCGGUUGUCAUGGGCUAGAGGGAGGUUUCGGGUCGUGACAGAGUCAUAAGCCUUACUGAUUAUUUUUGAUGAAAUGUAAUUGUUUUAUAUUGUUGAAAUGAGUUUUAAUGUUAUGAAUCAUAUUAUGAAGCGAUGUUUUAAUUGUCUCCAUUUACUUGGCUUUAGAUGUUAUAGAUGAACUUUGCUUACUCACUAGGUUUAUAAAAACUCACCCCUUUCUUUUCACCCAUUUCAGGUUCAGAGCAGUUUGUAGACAAUCGAUUUUGUCGAGGGUUUGCUUUU
rnacentral:lncRNA from 1 species